AUUUUAUGAUGAUUUAAAUAAUCACCAUCUUUCGACUGAUUACUGUGAUGGUAACUUUUGUAUCUGAAAAUUUAU